CAGAACUUGAAUUUGGAUCCUCCGAGGCUCGGGUCUUGACGAACUUGAUGAGGUCACUAAAAUGCUCUAGUAGCAGCUCUUCCUGCAAGUAGAGGACAGUUGAGAAAAGCUGCUAGUGAAAUCCAAGCAUGAAGGCUAAAGCAGAAAAGACGUAACUGAUUUCAAGGAUUAUCUCCAACAAGGCACAUGUCCCAGGACUGAUCCCAAAGCCUCCCACAAUAUUACACAUUGAAUUUAAAUUCCAACCAAAGUAAUCUUCCUACAGGAAUUUGAUUGCUUCCAAGACUUCACUCAUGCUACUCUUUUUUUUUUUCCUUUAUUUUGUUUAAAUAGGUGGAUGAGUGGCCAUACUAG
rnacentral:misc_RNA from 1 species